rnacentral:rRNA from 1 species
AACGAACGCUGGCGGCAGGCCUAACACAUGCAAGUCGAGCGCCUCAGCAAUGGGGAGCGGCAGACGGGUGAGUAACGCGUGGGUAUCUACCUAGUGGUACGGAAUAGCCCAGGGAAACUUGGAGUAAUACCGUAUAAGCCCGAAAGGGGAAAGAUUCAUCGCCAUUAGAUGAGCCCGCGUUGGAUUAGCUAGUUGGUGGGGUAACGGCCCACCAAGGCGACGAUCCAUAGCUGGUUUGAGAGAAUGACCAGCCACACUGGGACUGAGACACGGCCCAGACUCCUACGGGAGGCAGCAGUGGGGAAUCUUGGACAAUGGGCGAAAGCCUGAUCCAGCCAUGCCGCGUGAGUGACGAAGGUCUUCGGAUUGUAAAGCUCUUUUGGCGGGGACGAUAAUGACGGUACCCGCAGAAUAAGCCCCGGCUAACUUCGUG